UUAUCUUUUUUUCCGCGUUGUCGCCUUAAACAAAAAUAAAGACGACAUUGCAAAAUUGGCCGUAUCCGGCUUCAAUACAAUGCAUAUGGAAAUGAUUUGUAAAAUAUUUUUUUGGACAUUUAAUUAUGAUUCAAUUUAUAUCUCUUUUUAAGUGCACAUUUUUAUGGGAAAACAACAUAUUAUAUGAACUAUUUCUGUUGCCGGAAUUUCGAAGAGAAAAAUGGGAAAUGCGUUGGUACGUUCAAAUAAAAUUAAGAUUGGAAACGGGAAAUGGGUCAAAGAGACAUCAACCCAAGACCACCAAGGGGUCUUCAACACACCGAGAAAAACCCGCACCCGGAGUUAGGCACAUACAAAGUAUCUAAUUAAAAUAAUUCACACUUUUAGGUCAAAACAUUUUAAAUAAAGGCAAUAGUAGUAAACCGCUGUUCAAUAGUCAUAAAUCGAUUUAGCUGAAACAAAUCCGGGUCGCAAAUCAAAACUGAGGUAAACACAUCAACUAUAAGAAGAAAGAAAAACGGAACAACAGAAACACUGAACUGCUACAAAAACAAACGCCAACAUACAUAGAAACGGACUAUGUGAUAACAACUGCCAUAUUCCUGACUUGGUACAGGACAUUUUAAGAAAAAAUGGUGGGUUGAACCUGGUUUUAUGGAUAGCCAAACCUCCAGCUUAUAUGGCAAUGUUGAAAAUACCGCUAAAAUGACAACAUUACGUGACAGGAAUACAAUACAAAUAAAUGCAAGAACAUUCCGGACAGAGAAAUACAUAAAUAAAUAAUAUAAUUAUAGUACAUUUCAACAUGUAAACCACAGAAUAACAACGAACACCUUACAUUGAAUACACAUUGUUUAUGCAAUUACAAGGGAAAAAUAAUCCAGUGCAUGCUAAUUAUUUUGUAUUUCCUUUCGGUUGCAGUGAACAUGUUCAUGUUUUUUGACAGAAUAUUUAUGGUGAAACAAUAACAGAAAUGAUGUUAAAACUGUUUUAAUCCUUUUCGUAGAUGUAUAUGUAUAUAUGACCAUAUACAAGUCGAUAACGCAGUAAUCAUCAUUCGGCAUAUGUGUUUUACAUGCUUAAAACUCGAUCGGUGUUUGAGUUUACCGUUAAAUUAUGCGAAACUUCUUAAAAGAAAAUAAGAAAAAAAAAUGUUCUUAGUAUUAAUCAUUUGUUUUCUGGAUGUGAAUCAUUUAUUGUCUAUUUGAAUAAUAAAGAAAAAGCCAUGAUUAUGAUUAUAUAUAAAGUAAAAAACUUAGACGAGUACAAACAAAAUCAUAUUGGAGAUCCUGAUUAGUUACCAUCAACAAUAUACUAUUUAGAACUGAAUGCUUCUUUGUGUAAUGUUAUUGGAGUUGGUAAAGCGUUGACUGAUGUACAUGUUGUACAAAUGUGAAACGCGGAAGAUCUUCAUACUACAACUGAGUGCACGAUCAGCGCCUUUACAACCCUAUAAAAUUACGAAAAUAAUCAUGCAAUUCUUAUAAGUACAUGUCUUCUUAUGCUUCGAGUUAUAUCAAGCUUUUGAUUUGUUUACUCAUGCUUUGUUGUGACGUUGUCGUGAGAAUCACGUAUAUAUAAUUUUGGAAAGUGUCGCGAUUGUUGUCUACUAAUCAAAAUUAAAGAUUCUAAUGAAACAAACAUGUCCAUAAAACAACAUCUAAAGGGAAAUAAGUUGUAUGCAUAGUUAAUCGUUAUAGAAUGUCAAAGAGGGUUUACAACUUCAAAUGGAGAACCUUGUAAACCAUGUACGACAAAUAAAUUCGGGAACAAAUGUGCGCAUACAUGUCACUGUACAAAAGAGGAAAGGUAUGUACUGAAUUCAAUCUUUCUAACUCCUUCUUUUUCAGACCUUCUUUUUCAGAGAAAAAGAAACUGAACUGUUCCUUUUAAAGGACUGAUAUAAAUCACAGCGAAAUAAAUAAAAUAUUUGAGGCUCAUGUGUCUGCCUAUUUCAAUGGCGUUCACAUAACAUCUAGUUUUUAUCAUUCUUAAAACAUGUAAAUUUAAUCGCUGAUAUUUUUAUCAUUAUCACUUUAAAGGAAAACAGUUUGUUGUCAUUGUUCUGGCUAAUAACUUAAAUUUUGUAUUGUCUCUCUUUAAUACGCAUACCCAGCAGAUAUACCGUACACAAAUGUAAACAGAAUCCAAGGGACAAUCAAAACCUACAAAUCGAGGAAAAACGACAAAUACAUAUUAUUUCUUAUAAUGUCAAAUGUAAUGGUUUAAAAUAGAGUAAAUCCAUUAACAUACGGUUAACAUUAACGUGUACAAUGUGUUUACACAAAAAUAAAAUAAUUCGAAAUACAUGUACAUAAUAUAUUAUAUAGUCAGUAAUAAUUUACGUGGUGAACAAUGAAGUCCAUUGGCUUCAACAUUUUAUAACCGUUAAGUUAACGUUCACAUCCUUAUUUUGUACCGCCUUGGUUGUCUUGUAGUGGCGUGCUCGAGGUCAGCACGGCAGGUCAUAGGUUCUAUUCCAUGUCAUGGUCAAACAAAAUAGUUUGCAAGUAGUAUUUGCUGCUUCUCCGCUCAGCAUGUGCAUUAAAAAGUUUGAGCAAAUAUUGGUCAGCUCGGAGUCCAGAAGGGAUUACAUGUCUUCAUGUGGACUGUUGCCUUGUAAUAUAGUACGUUAAAAUAUCCGGUCAGCGUGUCGGUCUUGUACAAAGUAGGGUGUGAAACCAAGUGUGUUUGAAUGUUGACGAACUACAUUGUAAUUGUUUCGUGCGUUUUAGGUGUGAUAGUAGACAAGGAUGCGUGUCAUUGCACCCAGAAAUUUCGACUGAAAAAUUUUCUACAUUGAUGUAUGACAACCAGCAAACAACCUUAACCAUGAAUGUUUCGCGACAUACUAUGAAUAUUGUUUACAACGAAAGCCAUCACACACCAACUGAUGUAUAUGAAAAUAAAACGGAUAGUACAGAGGGAAAUGAUGAACGUAUAAAUGACAGUGAUUAUAUAAACUACGUCAUCUGGACUGGGUGUAUUCUAUUCAUAAUCCUGAUUGUCGUAAGCAGUAGUAUAUGGUAUAUCUUGAAUAACAAUCUACUACUGAAACAUUCCGCAAAUGUCAAUAGUAUACUACAAGAAAAAGGAACAACUGUAGGUGUUCUUAAUCGGCCUGAAAGCGUCACAGGACCAUGUGACAUAAUAAAUGAGCAAACUUUGUGUCUAGAUCAUGCAAUUGAGAUACAAGUGGUAACCGGAGAAGCUUUAGACAAAAAUAGCAACGAGAAUUGAUAUCUAAAAUCGCAACAUUCCGCAAUAAUAAAAAAAUAACAGGUGGUUCAACAAAUGACCAGAAAACUAUGAUGUGCAUGGGUAUUGCACGGUUGCACUACCUCAACCAGCGACUGCACACAGUAUCAGAUACUGUGAGCCCCUAGACCAACGAUCAAUAAGACAGAUGGUGUUAAUUCUCAUGAGACUUAAUGUUUUACUUUAUGCAGUUGCAGUCUUUUCAUUAUAUAUGGUUUUUUGCAAAAUGUUUAAUUAUUUAGCUUACAAAUUAAAGUGAAUAUUAUAGAUAUAUAUAUAUAUAUCUUUAAUAAUAAAAUAUUGAAUUCCACAUUGAAGCUAUGAUAAUAAAGGUUACA